rnacentral:misc_RNA from 1 species
GAAAUGCGAUACGUGAUGUGAAUUGCAGACUUGUGAAUCAUCGAAAUUUUGAACGCACAUGGCGCCCAUUGGUAUUCCAGUGGGCACAUCUGUUUGAGCGUUGUUAAACUCUCUCGGGUAACUCCGGUGGUGGAGGAGGUCGUACAGCAGUCAGACCCCUCUUGAAUAUCGCAGCAUUACGGUUAACGUGAUUUAUACUCGGUGCAACGAGUCCCUACUCUCUAACUCGUUGCUGGUCAAACUCAUUUUUUUUUUUAUCUUCUCAACCUCAAAUCAGAUGGGAGUACCCGCUGAACUUAA